rnacentral:misc_RNA from 1 species
UGAGCGUGAGCGUGAGCGUGA